rnacentral:rRNA from 1 species
CAGUAGGGAAUCUUCGGCAAUGGGGGCAACCCCUGACCGAGCAACGCCGCGUGAGUGAAGAAGGUUUUCGGAUCGUAAAGCUCUGUUGUAAGAGAAGAACGUGUGUGAGAGUGGAAAGUUCACACAGUGACGGUAACUUACCAGAAAGGGACGGCUAACUACGUGCCAG